CAGGCUGGAGUGCAGUGGUGUGAUCAAGGCUCACUGCAGCUGCAGCUUCGACUUCUCAAGCUCGAGGGAUCCUCCUACUUCAGCCUCCUGAGUAGCUGGGACCACAGAUAUGGAAGUUCCUUGAAGACGGGCAGAACCUCACUUCCAACACCCAGGGCACAGCACUCAGAUGACCACAGGAGAGAGGCUGGUCAAGAUUGGUGCUAGAAGUCAGAGAAUAGCCACAUUCAUCUUUGCCCUUCCUGGCUUUGGAGGAACUUAGAGCCCUUCCUCAAGGUACUGUGUAAGCCACUGAAGAAACACAAGAUGGACUCAGGUGACGCAAAGACAAAUGUCUUACUUUUUUUUUUUUU